GACGAACGCUGGCGGCGUGCCUAAUACAUGCAAGUCGAACGAGUGGCGGACGGGUGAGUAACACGUGGGUAACGGCCGGAGGGAGGGGGUUAACACCUGGACACGGUAGCUAUAACCGCACAUCAUCCCAGAUGCCCUGAUGGGAUUAGCUAGUAGGUGGGGUAAUGGCUCACCUAGGCGACGAUCCCUAGCUGGUCUGAGAGGAUGACCAGCCACACUGGAACUGAGACACGGUCCAGACUCCUACGGGAGGCAGCAGUGGGGAAUAUUGCACAAUGGGCGCAAGCCUGAUGCAGCCAUGCCGCGUGUAUGAAGAAGGCCUUCGGGUUGUAAAGUACUUUCAGCGGGGAGGCGUUACCCGCAGAAGAAGCACCGGCCAACUCCGUGCCAGCAGCCGCGGUAAUUC
rnacentral:rRNA from 1 species